rnacentral:lncRNA from 1 species
GGGGAAAGAACAUUAGACGGAGAAAGCUGAAGAAGCAUUAUAUCAAGAGUGUUGUGGUUGACUGGAUUGCCAGUUGAUUUGCUUACUAAGUAUAGGCGAAGAUAUUCGUCCAACUCUUUGCUCUUUUUCUUUACUACCUAAACCAGAUCUUGAUUACUUAUAUGCUUCUAAUAUUUGUUUGUGCUUAUUCAUCCAUGAACUUAAAUAUUUAAUAUAAACGGGCUAAAACGUAUACACAUGCCUGUAACAUUGUUAGUUAAACUGUCAACAGUUGUAGAGCCAGUGAUGUGCUCAGAGGUUUACGCUUGAAUAUUCAAGCAAGUGCACAGCAAAAUGCAUUAGUAUGGUUAGGUAACUUUGCUAUUUUCCUGUGUUUUUUCCUUAACAUGCAAACAUAAAAGCACUGACGUAAAUAGCUUCUAAAAGGCUCAAAAAGGUUUAUAAUUUAUCUAUGGAUAACCUAGCUGUUGUAUAACGCUCUUUGAUGCUUUCUAGGAAUGAAGAAUAUUAGUUAAGAGAGUUACUUCUCCAACAACCUCAUUAAUGUUCGUUCCAAAGAAGAAUUCAAAAUCAAAACUCGCGCGGGUGCGCGGAUCAAGCUCUAGUUUGUUUUUAUAAUACAUAUACUUAAUAUACGUAUAACAACUAAAUUAGUUACGCUUAAAGUAGUAACUGCAGAGCUAAGUGAAAACAAAAAUGCGCAUGAAUGCAGGGGAAAGAACAUUAGACGGAGAAAGCUGAAGAAGCAUUAUAUCAAGAGUGUUGUGGUUGACUGGAUUGCCAGUUGAUUUGCUUACUAAGUAUAGGCGAAGAUAUUCGUCCAACUCUUUGCUCUUUUUCUUUACUACCUAAACCAGAUCUUGAUUACUUAUAUGCUUCUAAUAUUUGUUUGUGCUUAUUCAUCCAUGAACUUAAAUAUUUAAUAUAAACGGGCUAAAACGUAUACACAUGCCUGUAACAUUGUUAGUUAAACUGUCAACAGUUGUAGAGCCAGUGAUGUGCUCAGAGGUUUACGCUUGAAUAUUCAAGCAAGUGCACAGCAAAAUGCAUUAGUAUGGUUAGGUAACUUUGCUAUUUUCCUGUGUUUUUUCCUUAACAUGCAAA